GGACGGGGGCCCGCACAAGCGGUGGAGCAUGUGGUUUAAUUCGAUGAUACGCGAAGAACCUUACCGGGGUUUGACAUGCAGGUGAUCGCCGUUGAAAGACGGUUUCCUCUUCGGAGGCACCUGCACAGGUGCUGCAUGGCUGCCGUCAGCUCGUGCCGUGAGGUGUCGGGUUAAGUCCCAUAACGAGCGCAACCCCUACCGUUAGUUGCCAGCGGGUCAUGCCGGGAACUCUAGCGGAACUGCCAGCGUAAGCUGUGAGGAAGGCGGGGAUGACGUCAAAUCAGCACGGCCCUUACGUCCAGGGCUACACACGUGUUACAAUGGCCGGUACAGAGGGCAGCCACCCCGCGAGGGGGCGCGAAUCCCGAAAGCCGGUCGCAGUUCGGAUCGGAGUCUGGAACCCGACUCCGUGAAGCUGGAUUCGCUAGUAAUCGCGCAUCAGCCAUGGCGCGGUGAAUACGUUCCCGGGCCUU
rnacentral:rRNA from 1 species